AGUUCCUGAUUCAGGCGUUCCAGGCCUCCUCUUCCCCGCCCCUUGGGUGGCCCGCCUCACCCAAGGCUGUCCUCAGUGGGCGUCUGCACUCGGGCUUCUGGGCGCUCGGCUUUCUCAUCGCGCUGUUCUCAGCCUUGCCGCUUGCUCUCUCCGAUGGGAAUGGCGAGGCGAGAUCUAGCCUUUAGGGUGGGAAGAGAAUGCACAGAAAGCGCUAAGGAUCAAGGAGGCUGUCAAUAAACGGGAGUUGUUGCUGUGAC
ensembl:lncRNA novel transcript